GCAUUACCGAGAUAGCUCUGUCGUUGGAAGAGCACGAGACUCUUAAUCUCAGGGUUGUGGGUUUGAGCACCAUGUGGGGCA